CAACAUACAUGUGCUAACUGGCCCUCUAUUCAUUACAUCCACUAUGUAAUUUUUACAUUUUUUUUUCUCCUUUCUUCUUUCUCUCAUCUCUACUUUCCUUUUUCAACUCUCCAUUGAGGAAAUUUCCACAAAAAAAAUGGAGCUUCCCUUUGGGAAAUACUCCACUUCAACCCAAAGAACCCCAAGAAUAUUCUUACUUUUAGUUUUAGCAGUUGUCGUUUUGGGUAUUAUCCCUCUUUAUCACCCAUUUAAUUGGUACCCAGCAGAUUUAGCAGCCCAACAUCCCUCUGAAAUUUCACCCAAUUACCAUGCUGCUGAGGAGCAAAAGAUAAAGAUUAAAGAGCCGGAGACAUGCGAUAUCUUCACCGGCGAAUGGGUCUGGAAUCCGGAUGCUCCAUAUUACACGAAUAUGACCUGUUAUGCGAUCCAUGAACACCAAAAUUGUAUGAAGUAUGGGAGACCCGAUACUGAUUAUUUGAAGUGGAGAUGGAAGCCUAAUGGGUGUGAGUUACCCAUUUUCGACCCGUUUCUGUUUUUAGAUUUGGUUAGGAACAAAUCGUUGGCACUUGUCGGUGAUUCAGUUGGAAGAAAUCAAAUGCAGUCGUUGAUAUGCCUAUUGGCUCGGGUGGAAUAUCCUGUCGAUAUAUCUGAUAAUCCAGAUGAAGCUUUCAAAAAAUAUAAAUACACAACUUACAACUUUACAUUAGCAACAUAUUGGUCACCAUUUUUGGUGUCAACAAAAGAAGCUGAUGCAGAUGGUCCAAGCCAUACUGGAGUUUACAAUCUUCACCUUGACAAAGCAGAUGAGAAAUGGACCACUGAAAUUGAAAGAUAUGACUACGUCAUCUUAAAUGCAGGCCACUGGUUUGCCCGGAUCAGUGUAUACUUUGAGAACAACCAACGAGUUGGCUGCCGGUACUGUGGUAUACCAGAUGUUUCUGAACUCCCUAUUACCUAUGCCUACCAAAAGGCAUUCAGAACUGCUCUUAAAGCGAUCAACAAUUUAGAAAAUUUUAAGGGGGUGGCAAUUCUUAGGACUUUUGCACCUUCUCAUUUUGAAGGUGGGGAAUGGAACAAGGGAGGUAAUUGUGCAAGGACAAGGCCAUAUGGAAGUAACGAGACUGCGUUGGAGGGUCAAAGCUUGGAACAAUACAGGAUCCAAGUUGAAGAGUUUAAGGCUGCAGAGGAAGAAGGGAAGGGGAAGGGGAAGAAAUUCAGAUUGAUGGACACAACACAAGCCAUGUUGUUGAGACCAGAUGGUCACCCAAGUAAAUAUGGGCAUUGGCCAAAUGCCAAUGUUGUAUUAUAUAAUGACUGUGUUCAUUGGUGCUUGCCUGGUCCUAUUGAUUCUUGGGCUGAUAUUUUGUUUCAUAUGUUCAAGAUGGAGAGCACCAAAUCCCUAGAGGAAAAGCUUGAAUGAGAGAGCCAAAUCAUACAAUGUACUCUGAUUUUUUUAGUUGCUUCAUUUAUUUUUAGAAUGGUUGUGAAUUACAGAGGAACUCUGUUACAUGGAUCGUUAUGGUUGAGUUGCAAAUGUAACUAUAGUACUGUUAGAAAAGUUGGGGCAAAAGAAGCCUUGUUGAAUUUUUAUAGAGCUGAUGAUAUUUCUGCCCCAUUAUUCAAAGGUAUAUGGUUCAAGUUUACCAAAGUCAGCUCAUUACUUGCAGGAAUGGAAUAUUUCUGGUAAGACAGGGACUCAUAUUGACGGAAUUACAAGACAUGGUUACGUUACUGAAGAUAUUUUUUGCAUGGUGGAACUUGGAAGCAGUGGUUUUGCCGUGGUAAGGUACAUAUGGACGUUUUGUACUUCGAUUUUAUUCAUUCGAAUUUCAAUUUUGGAUUUUUCAAGAGUGUACCAACUACCGAAUACUUGUACUAAUUCAAUUCCGUUUUAUA